GGAGAGAUGCGAGAGUGGUUGAAUCGGGCGGUCUCGAAAACCGUUGAAGGAUUUUGUCCUUCCGAGGGUUCGAAUCCCUCUCUCUCCG
rnacentral:tRNA from 1 species